GAUUAGCUGCCAGAAGGCUCUGUGUUGCCUUACCACACCAGGGAAAGGCAAGUCAACAGGGAACGCCUCUGCAUGAGCGCUAACAAAUUCUCAAGAGAAAAAGCACAGACAGGCAGACUCAAAGGGGCCAGGGGCAAGCUAGUCUGCUUUCCACCGGAGCAUUUCCCUCCAAAGAUGCAGGUUUCUCUACUUAUCUCCUCCCUGGAUGGCUGUAUAAGCCAGAUGAUGGUUACCUGAACACUCUAGAAAAAGAAUUCACAGAGGGUUUCACAGGGCACGGCCUCGCAGUCUGGAGGGAGAAGAGGGCAAAGCGGUCUUCACGGACGCCACCUACUGCCUGGCUGGGCAGAGAGCCAGUGGAUCAGAGAGGCCGGCUCUGUUCUUGGCAGGAAAUGAGGAGCUGGCAUGGAAAUGCCACCCAGGCUGGGAACAAGAUCUAUGGAGUGGCAGCCUGA
rnacentral:lncRNA from 1 species